rnacentral:rRNA from 1 species
AAGUUAAAUAGAGGUAGAGCUACUGAUUGGGUGCGGGGGAGUCAUAUCCUACCAAAUCCAGACAAACUCCGAAUGCUAUUUAAUAUACACUGCAGUGAGGCUAUGGGUGCUAAGGUCCAUGGCCGAGAGGGAAAGAACCCAGACCAUCAGCUAAGGUCCCCAAAUUACUGUUAAGUUGAACUAACGAGGUCCGAUUGCACAGACAGCUAGGAUGUUGGCUUGGAAGCAGCCAUUCAUUUAAAGAGUGCGUAACAGCUCACUAGUCGAGCGAUCGGGCAUGGAUAAUAAACGGGCAUUAAACAGUAUACCGAAGCUAUGGAUUUGCAGUAAUGCAUCUGGUAGGGGAGCAUUCUAUUGUCCGGCGAAGCCAUACGCGACAAGCGGUGGUGGAGGUAAUAGAAAAGCAAAUGUAGGCAUAAGUAACGAUAAGGCGGGAGAGAAACCCGCCCACCGAAAGACUAAGGUUUCCUGAUCAACGCUAAUCGGAUCAGGGUUAGUCGGGGCCUAAGGUGAAGCCGAAGGGCGUAGCCGAUGGACAACUGGUUAAUAUUCCAGUACUUUUUAUAACUGCGAUGCGGUGACGGAGUAGUGACACUGACGCGAACUGACGGAAUAGUUCGUUAAAGGCCGUAGGUAUAGGGUUUGUAGUUAAGUACGCAGACCUUGCUGAAAGCUGAUAGUACUCGGAACCUUCGGGGGAUGGGAUAGUUCAGGUAAUCAGACUUCCAAGAAAACCCGCUAAGCUUCAGGUUAUAAAAACCCGUACCGUAAACCGACACAGGUAGUCGAGGAGAGGAUCCUAAGGUGCUCGAGUGAAUCAUGGCUAAGGAACUCGGCAAAAUGGCCCUGUAACUUCGGGAGAAGGGGCGCUGUCAGCAAUGGCAGCCGCAGUGAAAAGGCCCAGGCGACUGUUUAACAAAAACACAUGGCUAUGCAAAAUCGAAAGAUGACGUAUAUGGCCUGACACCUGCCCGGUGCCGGAAGGUUAAGAGGGGAUGUUAGUCGCAAGGCGAAGCAUUGAAUCGAAGCCCCGGUAAACGGCGGCCGUAACUAUAACGGUCCUAAGGUAGCGAAAUUCCUUGUCGGGUAAGUUCCGACCUGCACGAAUGGUGUAACGAUCUGGGCGCUGUCUCAGCCAUGAGCUCGGUGAAAUUGUGGUAUCGGUGAAGACGCCGGUUACCCGCAACGGGACGGAAAGACCCCAUGCACCUUCACUACAACUUAACAUUGAUAUCGGAUACAGGAUGUGUAGGAUAGGUGGGAGACUGUGAUCCGGCUUCGCCAGGAGUCGGUUAGUCAACGUUGAAAUACCACCCUUUCUGUAUUUGGUGUCUAACUCUUUGCAUAAGGAGGACAUUGUUUGGCGGGUAGUUUGACUGGGGUGGUCGCCUCCAAAAAGGUAACGGAGGCUUUCAAAGGUAAGCUCAAUACGCUUGGUAACCGUAUGCGGAGUGCAAUAGCAUAAGCUUGCUUGACAGUGAGACAGACAAGUCGAGCUGGGUCGAAAGACGGAUAUAGUGAUCCGGUGGUUCUGCAUGGAAGGGCCAUCGCUCAAAGGAUAAAAGGUACGCUGGGGAUAACAGGCUGAUCUCCCCCAAGAGCUCAUAUCGACGGGGAGGUUUGGCACCUCGAUGUCGGCUCGUCACAUCCUGGGGCUGGAGAAGGUCCCAAGGGUUGAGCUGUUCGCUCAUUAAAGUGGCACGCGAGCUGGGUUCAGAACGUCGCGAGACAGUUCGGUCCCUAUCUGUUGUGGGCGUUGGAAGUUUGAGUGGGGCUGACCUUAGUACGAGAGGACCGGGUUGGACUAACCUCUGGUGAAUCUGUUAUGCCGCCAGGUGUACUGCAGAGUAGCUACGUUGGGAAUAGAUAAGCGCUGAAAGCAUCUAAGUGCGAAACUAGCCACGAGAUGAGACUUCCUUAUAGGGUCGUAGGAGACUACUACGUUGAUAGGUCAUAGGUAUAAAGGUGGUGACAUCAUAGCCAAGUGAUACUAAUAGCCCGAAGCUUUCUCAUA